AGCGAACGCUGGCGGCAGGCCUAACACAUGCAAGUCGAACGAACUCUUCGGAGUUAGUGGCGGACGGGUGAGUAACACGUGGGAACGUGCCUUUUGGUUCGGAAUAACUCAGGGAAACUUGUGCUAAUACCGAAUGUGCCCUUCGGGGGAAAGAUUUAUCGCCAUUAGAGCGGCCCGCGUCUGAUUAGCUAGUUGGUGAGGUAACAGCUCACCAAGGCGACGAUCAGUAGCUGGUCUGAGAGGAUGACCAGCCACACUGGGACUGAGACACGGCCCAGACUCCUACUGGAGGCAGCAGUGGGGAAUCUUGCGCAAUGGGCGAAAGCCUGACGCAGCCAUGCCGCGUGAAUGAUGAAGGUCUUAGGAUUGUAAAAUUCUUUCACCGGGGACGAUAAUGACGGUACCCGGAGAAGAAGCCCCGGCUAACUUCGUG
rnacentral:rRNA from 1 species